AAUGACACGAUCACUCCCGUUGAGUGGACACCCAAGAAGCCAUCGGGAUUAUCGUGUCCGCCC
rnacentral:pre_miRNA from 1 species